rnacentral:rRNA from 1 species
UACGGGGGGGGCAAGCGUUGUUCGGAAUUACUGGGCGUAAAGGGCUCGUAGGCGGCCAACUAAGUCAGACGUGAAAUCCCUCGGCUUAACCGGGGAACUGCGUCUGAUACUGGAUGGCUGGAGGUUGGGAGAGGGAUGCGGAAUUCCGGGUGUAGCGGUGAAAUGCGUAGAUAUCGGGAGGAACACCAGAGGCGAAGGCGGGUUGCUGGGCUGACACUGACGCUGAAGCGCGAAAGCUAGGGGAGCGAACGGG